AGGCUACGCAGGACGUCCUCUAUUGCCACUUCCGUGGGUGCUAGGUUAGAGGCUGGGGGCGGUGCUGACCUUGAGAGCGCGCCGGGGAGGCGCAGGCGCAGCACAGGAGAAUCCAGUUUUGCAAAAAUUGGGGAAACCAUUGCUUGCAGAGGGGACAAUAACGCAAAACCCUGAGGCAUGAACUACCUUGGGAAAUUCCAGGAACCAAAAGAAGGCCUGCCUGGUUGAAGCAUAGUAACUACAAGACAAAGCAACUGGGGAACCUAAUUCUGACCAACAAGGAGGAAUUGCUUGGCUAAUUGGAAGUGACAGAAACCUUGGGAGAAAACAACCACAUACCAAGGAUAAUUAUAAGAAGGAUUACUAGACCAGUGCACCAAUAAAAUGAAGUAGACAAUAUUUAUCUGUGCCUAACAGACAUUACUGACAUUUUUCAUCAUAUACUUAACCAGGCACUGUGUUAUGCUAGAUGGAGCGGCAACAUUCAGACCUUACCUUCAAGGGACUUUAAAUCUAGGAGAGAGCAUAAAAUGUAUGCUAGUAGUUAUUAAAUGCUCAUAUGCAAUGUUAGUGCUGCAAGGGAGAUACAAAGAGGAUGCAGAGCUUAUGUUCAGCUUGGGACCUGAUAAGAGGUUGGGUAGGGAUAUAGAUGAAAAAAGACUGGGCAUGAAUUGAUAAUUAUUGAAGCUAUCUAAUGGGUACGUUACAUUAUUUUGUCCAUCUAUUAAUUUUUUCAUAAUAAAAGUGCUUCUUAAAAAGUCUUCCUCAAUGAGAUGGCAUUUGAGAUAGACUUUGGCAAAAGGGCACUAGCCAGUAAACCAAGAAGUAUGGGUAGAAAUAGCAAGAUCCUGACACGUAGUUGGAAAAGCCCUAGGCUGAUUCGAUUGAUGUUGUACUGCUUAGGUGAAGCAUAGAGUAUAUAUUGGGGCAUAGGAGAAUGGGAUAAAACUAAAAAAUUAUUUUUAUUAUUAUUUCAAUGACUUUGAGUAUUAAAUUGUGACAUUUAAAAUUAUUACAGCAGUUCCUAGUGGCUUUAGCAUGAUUUGAUUAAAAGUUUUGAUUAUAGGGGAAAUAAAGAGGCUGAAGUGAAGCAGAUAUGAAUCCAAAUUCCAGUAAGAAGGACUUUACAAAGUUGAAGAGAGGCUGUGCAGUCCAGAAAAGAACAGGGACAUGGAAUAGAAAGUCCAGGAGAGGAGCUGUAGAAGGGGAAUAUUAGGACACUCGAUUGACAGAGGACAGAGAAUGUCAAAGAUAAAUUUAAGAUUUUGUUUCCAGUCUGGGUGCACAUAAGCCAGGAUGGUCAUAUCCAAAUUAGUGAAGAAGACAAAGUAGCUUUUAGGCAUCACUAGUCUGAAGGGCUAGGAGGAGGACAACUAGACAGAGGUGACCAGAAGAUGCCCUCCACAAGAGAGAGGAUUGGGAGAGGAGAGAAACUUGGGACUUAUUCAUAUGGAACUAAGCAUUGAAGCACAAAAUUGCUGAGCAGUUGUUUAGCACCAGCCAAACAAGAGGUGAAAGACUCUGGAUUUCUAACGCACAGCAAUUUUCAGUUAAUAUGUCUAGAACUGCAAAAUAAAUAACCUCUAAGCAAAUCAGGUGGCAUCACAGUCAAGUUAAAUCCUAGAAGGUUCAGAUGGGGUCUUAUUUCGAAGGUCUCAUAUCGAGGCUUAAAGACUUUCAUGGUAAAGCUUGGAAAACUACAAUGGGAGAACUACAUAAAUUUGAGUACUGUCUCCUGCUCUCUCUUCUCUGCACUGGGUGAAGGAAAACCCUUCAUAGACAACUUUAGCAUAACUUUGCCAUGAUGAGAACAACUUGCAUGGUGAAUACUGUCCAGAGAAAUUGUGUGCUUUGAGAUAAUUUAGAAGAUCACUCCUGGCAGCACCUAGAGAUUUGUUUUUUUAACUAAUUUAUGCUCACAAGAUGUGAGACUAAAUGGUAAAACUGUAUCAGAAUAUUAAGAGGCGAGCACCCUUUCAAUUCAAAAUGGCACAUUGUUACCAGUAGUGAUUCAGGCCACUGGAGACUGAGUUCUACCAAAAUACAGGAACAGACCAAGAAACAAGACCUGGCAAACCAAAAACAGUACUUCCAACCCGAUAGGGAGAUGAAGAACUGUGAGCAGCAGCAUGCAAAAGUUCAAGACAAGUAGCCUCAAAGAGCCAACGUCAGCCUGGAGGGGCCUUUACACAAGAAGAGGAGCCUGUGGUAUGUCAGUAUGAGCUGGAGCAGCCAUCGUGAGGUUCAGGGUUAGCUCUGGAGUGGAGUUGCAUGGAUGGAUUAGAAACUGAUGGGCAGUGUCUCAGGGCCAGAUAGUGGGAAGUGAGAUAGACUAAGUUGGCACAAAGACUGCGGUGGAUCAGGCAGGUUCCCAGGCAAAUGGGUUGAGUAUCAGAAAGUCAGGGAUCCAGCUAAGAUUAACAAUGGAUCAGAAACUUGGGCAAGGAAUCUGAAUAACAGGAACGGAGCACCCUUAAGAAAAACAAGCAAGGAGGUGUGGGUAUAGCUCAGUGGUAGAGUGCAAAUUUAGCAUGCACGAGGUCUUGGGUUCAAUCCCCAGCACCUCCACUAAAAUAAGAAGAAGAAAUAAGAAAUAAAUGAAUAAUUUUUUUUUAAAAAAAGAAAAACAAGCAAAACAAAAUUUGGCAUUCUAAAGGCAUUUUGAUUCAAGUCAGAGACAAUUUCUGAGCAUAGGAACCAGUGUCUUUUAUUAUCUUCCUUGAGGAUUCAAGCUGGAGUCCUUGAGGCUAGGUUGGAUCUCUUGACUGAAGUGGGGAAGGAGGAAGCAGCAUUUCUGGUGUAAUAUAAAUCAUAUUGUGGUGAUGUAUAUCAUAAAGGUUCAAUCAAAUGGCACAGUUAACAUUUUAUGUGUUUGAUAAAUUGAAGCUAGCAUUCCUUCCAUCUCCAGAAGUAUAUAAGUCUCUAUUUUGAGCCGGAAGGAAUAAAAAAACCCAUUUUCCUCUGGGAUAUUUUUCUAGAACUGGUGGCCUCUACAACAACAAUCAAAAUUGCUUUCCCACAAAGUUUUAUAAGGGACAGUGGAGAGUGGGAAACCUUUGUCUAAAUCGCUCCUUCCGGACAUGAAAGUUAUCUUUAUGCAGAAGUAGAGGAAUAAUCAUCAUUGUGCUCUCCCUCCCCUCGUCCCCAGUUCAUUUAUCCAUGGAAGUGACUGGUCAGAAACAGGUUCUCAGAUCAGUUGUCCAUCUUCACAGGGAAAAAAGCUGGUUGUUAAUUUAAUUAAAUAAUUAAAUAAUUAAGUACUUAAGGCUUAAUUGCGCCUCUAAAAUGUCCUAGAACUCUGCAAGUGGCCAGGGCUACAGAGAAAGUAGACACAGAGAUUGCCCUCAAGAAGCUCACAUUCUAGUGAAGAAUCAAGGCAAGAACACAGCCCUGUUCCCCAGUGUGAUUAGUGCUCUGAUUAGGAUAAACACAUGAUGUUACAGAAUUCUUCUGGGGAGUAUCUAACCCAGCCAGGAGGGUAAGAAAACUUGCUGGAAUAAAGGCUUUAUUCAAAGGUGGUUGUAAUCAGGGAAGGGGACUGUUGUGAGGGGGAGAAUGCUCAGACUAUAAGAUCUGCAAACAUCUGAAAGGUCAUGCAAAAAAUGAAUUUUCUUUUUAUAGGGAGGGAGAAAAUGGCUAGAAGGAAUCUGGCUUGGAUAGGGGAAUGAGAUGAGCAGGUGACGUGAUGGGACAGUUGACUUUUCUUGCAGUCAGCUGAUCACCUGGAGAGGCUGCUAAGGAGGAUUUUUCUGCCCCAAAACCCAGAGGUGCAGCAAAGAUCAGGUGCAGCUAAGUUCAGGUGCCUGGGGGAGGGAAAGAAGCCUGACUAAAGUUUGGUCAAGUCAGGCAUUUUGUUCAGACUGGUCAGGGGGACAAACAGUCCAACUAAUCAUUUCUGAGAUAAAGAAUGGGAAAUUGGAGGGUCUCUGGCCUCAUCAUAGAGGAGGGCAUCAAGGAGGGAAUCAGUGAGUCUUAUCUAAGAAGAAAAAGUUUGGUUCUCUGCAGUAAGCUUUUUUUCUUGAAUAUAAAAGAGUUGGGGAAAGUGGUGGGAGAGAUUUAUUAAUUGUAGCUUUUUCCAGGAGCACAGGGCUCAGCUCAAGUUCAACAUUAUCAAUAUCUAAAUUAAUACUGUAAAGAAAAUCAAGAGAACAUUAGAGACAGGGAAAUAGCCAUGAGGCAGAAUAAACAUGGUAUCUUCCAGGAAUGUGAGGCAUUGCUACACUUGAUCUCAGAAGCAGGAGAUUGUUAGAAGGGUCCCACAGCAGUUCAGAAAAAAAUGUUCACUUGAAUUAAGGAAUAGUAGUCAAAUGCCCACAUAGAUGUUGGCCUGGGAGAUGGAAUAAACAUGUAAAAAGUGAGUUAUGAAACUACUGAAGAGUUUGACUAUGAAAGACAAUUCACCUCAGCUGAGAAAGCAGUCCAAGUAGUAAUCAGAUCACUCUCUCAGUUUGAUCUGAGGUAACAUAUCAGAUUUUUAUAUCUAGAAGGCCAAGAGGCAGAACUACAUAAAACAGACCUAUUUUCUGGGCAAUGAUUUUUUUGGAUUUGAUCCCAAAAGCACAGGCAAAAAAAGCAAAAAUAGACAAAUGAUAAAAAGCCUCUGCACAGCAAAGGAAAUAAUCAACAGAGUGAAAAGGCAACCAAUGGAAUGGGAGAGAAUAUUUGCAAAUCAUGCAUCUAAUAAGGGAUUAAUAUCCAAAAUAUGUGGAACUCAUAAAACUCAAUACUUUAAAAAAAAUGAACAAUCUGAUUGAAAAAUGAGCAAAGGACCUGAACAGACAUCUCUCAAAAGAAGACAUACAAAUGGACAAUGAAAAAUUGUUCAGCAUCACUAACCAUCAGAGAAAUACAAAUCAAAACCACAGUGAGAGAUAACCUCACACCCACUAGAAUAACUACGAUCAAAAAGACAAAAGAACAAAUGGCAACAAUGUAAAGAAAAGAGAACCCUUGUACACUGUUAGUGGGAAUGUAACUUAGUACAGACAUUACGGAAAACAAUAUAGAGGUUUCUCAUAAAAUUAAAAAUAGAGCUACCAUAUGAUCCAGCAAUCCUACUUCUGAGUAUAUAGCCAAAGGAAAUGAAAUCAGAAUCUAGAAGAAAUAUUUAUACUCUCAUGUCCAUUGUAGCAUCAUUCACAAUAAUCAUGAUAUCGAAACUACCUAAAUGUCUGUCCACAGACGAAUGAACAAAGAAAAUGUGGUAUAAACAUACAGUGAAAUACUAUUCAGCCUUAAAAAAGGAAAAAUCCUGUCAUUUGUGACAGGAUCGAUGAACCUAGACAACAUUAUGCUAGGUGAAAUAAGCCAUACACAGAAAGACAAAUACUGUAUUGUCCUCACUUAUACGUGGAAUUUAAAAAGUUGAACUCAUAGAAGCAAAAAGUAGAAUGAUGACUGCCAGGGACUGAAGGGUGGAAGAAAUGGGGAGAUGUUGGUCAAACGGUACAAAGUUUCAGUGACACAGAAUGAAAAAGUUCUGGACACCUAAUGAACAGCAUGGUAACUAUAGUUAAUACCAUAUUAUAUACUUGAAUAAUAUUACAUUGUAUACAUACUGUAUAUUGAAAUUUGCUGAGUAGAUCUUAAAUGUUCUUGCGAUAAAAAAGAUAACUAUGUGACAUGAUGAAUAUGUUAAUUAGCUUGAUUGUAGUGAUCACUUCACAAUGUAUAUGUAUAUCAAAGCAUGUUGUGCAUUGUAAAUAUGUAUAAUUUUAUUUGUCAAUCACAUCAAUAAAGCUGGAAAAUAAAUUUUUUGAAAAGACCUAUUUUAAGCCAAUUUAAAUGACUGUGAACCCACUAUGAUGUGUCAUAUUUCACCACUAUGUUUAUAUCCUCAAUAAAAACAGCUUUAAAUUAA